rnacentral:rRNA from 1 species
GAUGAACGCUGGCGGCGUGCCUAAUACAUGCAAGUCGAGCGAACGGACGAGAAGCUUGCUUCUCUGAUGUUAGCGGCGGACGGGUGAGUAACACGUUGAUAACCUACCUAUAAGACUGGGAUAACUUCGGGAAACCGGAGCUAAUACCGGAUAAUAUUUUGAACCGCAUGGUUCAAAAGUGAAAGACGGUCUUGCUGUCACUUAUAGAUGGAUCCGCGCUGCAUUAGCUAGUUGGUAAGGUAACGGCUUACCAAGGCAACGAUGCAUAGCCGACCUGAGAGGGUGGUCGGCCACACUGGAACUGAGACACGGUCCAGACUCCUACGGGAGGCAGCAGUAGGGAAUCUUACGCGAUGGGCGAAAGCCUGACGGAGCAACGCCGCGUGAGUGAUGAAGGUCUUAGGAUCGUAAAACUCUGUUAUUAGGGAAGAACAUAUGUGUAAGUAACUGUGCACAUCUUGACGGUACCUAAUCAGAAAGCCACGGCUAACUACGUG